rnacentral:rRNA from 1 species
CUACGGGUUGCUGCAGCGGGGAAUAUUGGGCAAUGGGCGCAAGCCUGACCCAGCAACGCCGCGUGAGGGAAGAAGGUUUUCGGAUUGUAAACCUCUGUCCUUGGGGACGAAGAAGUGACGGUACCCAAGGAGGAAGCUCCGGCUAACUACGUGCCAGCAGCCGCGGUAAUACGUAGGGAGCAAGCGUUGUCCGGAAUUACUGGGCGUAAAGGGUGCGUAGGCGGCAUAUUAAGUCAGGUGUGAAAUACUCGGGCUCAACCCGGGGGCUGCAUUUGAAACUGAUAUGCUUGAGUGUGAGAGAGGAAAGUGGAAUUCCUAGUGUAGCGGUGGAAUGCGUAGAUAUUAGGAGGAACACCAGUGGCGAAGGCGACUUUCUGGCUCAUAACUGACGCUGAGGCACGAAAGCGUGGGGAGCAAACAGGAUUAGAUACCCUGGUAGUC